UCUAGCGACAAAAUUAAUAUUGCAGUAAUGAAAUACUUGAUGUCGUCUUACCUUGGAAUGCGUCCUCCGAAGGCAGUAUUUUUCAGUUUUCAGUGGCCUAAACGACUCAGCAGCAUCAUUCUACUUUUGCUUCAGACUGACAGUGAUCCUGAUGACCCUGAAAUUCUGAGUAGUCCAGCACCUUCAUUGUGCAAUUUGUGAAGGUUGUCAGUGCUGUUGUUCUGUCCUGAUGACCAUUUGUGGGAUUGGACGGAGGCAGCCGUGCCUGACUUGGGGGCUGAUGGUCCACUGAUUGCACAGAUGUCCCUAAGAAGGCGAGAUGCUGUGGAAAUGAUGGAUGACGUGAGUCCUGCCCCUCUGCCCUCGGCUAUCAAGCGCUGUCUGGAAAACAACGGAAAACCUCUCAAUCAACGGAGACUGUCCGGAAGUUUAAAAUGAAACUAGUUUGAGAUGUAAAAGAUGUGCUGGUGUGUUACCUGUUGGAGAGCUUGAACUCCUGCAAGUUUUACAGUUUGUAUACGUAAGAUAGAGACUGCUG
ensembl:lncRNA